rnacentral:lncRNA from 1 species
AGAGCAACAGAAUACUGUGCUGAGGCCCCAAAACAGAAAGGAAAGCUCACCACCAGAAUGUGCCUUUUCCUUAUCAAAAAGAAUUGCUGCCCCUUACAGGACAGGAGGACUCCAAUUGUGACCAAGUUGGAGCAGCCUUGAGCCACAACUCAGACUUAUUUUCAUUCUCUGCUCAUUGGCCAUUAGGAACCCGAUCCUUAUGAUGUUGUUGCUAUGAUUUUUCUUUUUAAGACCUGCAGUGACCUGCUGCUACCAGAACUGACUCGCUUCAAAGUGACGGAUGAAACCCAUAUGGAGAUAUUCCUGGGGUGGGUAGGCCAGUUGGAAGACAGAGUGUUUACACCUGAGAGAGGACUUGAGGAAUAAAAACUUUAGGAUGGGUUAACGUAACACAACCUUAACCAAGUGAUCCAACUUAAUAUCCUCAAUAAUAGGACAAACUGAUAUCAUCUGCCUACAGUUAUGACACCCUGAGGAGGAAACAUCACUUCUUUAAUAUUCCUGCCAAAAGAAAAGAAAAGCAUGACCUCAUAACCUGAAUUCAAUCAGGAGGAAACAUGCAACAAACCCAAAUUGAGGAACAUUCUACAAAGUAAUUGGGCUGAAUUCUUAAAGUCAAAAUCAUAAAAGAUGAAAGCUGAGUAAAUUUUCUGGAUUAAAGGAGACAAACUGGACAUGGCAAUUAAAUUUAAUGUCAAAUUCUGAAUUGGAUCCUGGCAUAUAAAAAAGAAAUGUAGCUACAGAAAACAUCAUUGGGAAAAUUAAUAAAAUUUGAAUAUGAAAUAUGGAUGAAAAA